AUUGAACGCUGGCGGCAGGCCUAACACAUGCAAGUCGAACGAGUGGCGGACGGGUGAGUAAUGUCUGGGAAACUGCCUGAUGGAGGGGGAUAACUACUGGAAACGGUAGCUAAUACCGCAUACCAUCGGAUGUGCCCAGAUGGGAUUAGCUAGUAGGUGGGGUAAGGGCUCACCUAGGCGACGAUCCUUAGCUGGUCUGCGAGGAUGACCAGCCACCCUGGAACUGAGACGCGGCCAAUACUCCGACGGGAGGCAGCAGUGGGGAAUAUUGCACAAGGGGCGCAAGCCGGAUGCAGCCAGGCCGCGUGUAUGAAGAAGGCCUUCGGGUUGUAAAGUACUUUCAGCGGGGAGGCGUUACCCGCAGAAGAAGCACCGGCUAACUCCGUGCCAGCAGCCGCGGUAAUAC
rnacentral:rRNA from 1 species